rnacentral:rRNA from 1 species
GAGUUUGAUCCUGGCUCAGGACGAACGCUGGCGGCGUGCUUAACACAUGCAAGUCGAACGGAGCACCCUUGAAAGAGAUUUCGGUCAAUGGAUAGGAAUGCUUAGUGGCGGACUGGUGAGUAACGCGUGAGGAACCUGCCUUCCAGAGGGGGACAACAGUUGGAAACGACUGCUAAUACCGCAUGACACAUUUGAAUCGCAUGGUUUGAAUGUCAAAGAUUUAUCGCUGGAAGAUGGCCUCGCGUCUGAUUAGCUAGUUGGCAGGGUAACGGCCUACCAAGGCGACGAUCAGUAGCCGGACUGAGAGGUUGACCGGCCACAUUGGGACUGAGAUACGGCCCAGACUCCUACGGGAGGCAGCAGUGGGGAAUAUUGGGCAAUGGACGCAAGUCUGACCCAGCAACGCCGCGUGAAGGAAGAAGGCUUUCGGGUUGUAAACUUCUUUUAAGGGGGAAGAGCAGAAGACGGUACCCCUUGAAUAAGCCACGGCUAACUACGUGCCAGCAGCCGCGGUAAUACGUAGGUGGCAAGCGUUGUCCGGAUUUACUGGGUGUAAAGGGCGUGUAGCCGGGCCGACAAGUCAGAUGUGAAAUCCGU